GACGAACGCUGGCGGCGUGCUUAACACAUGCAAGUCGAACGGAAAGGCCCUGCUUGUGUGGGGUGCUCGAGUGGCGAACGGGUGAGUAACACGUGAGUAACCUGCCCUUGACUUUGGGAUAACUUCAGGAAACUGGGGCUACUACCGGAUAGGAGCUCCUGCUGCAUGGUGGGGGUUGGAAAGUUUCGGCGGUUGGGGAUGGACUCGCGGCUUAUCAGCUUGUUGGUGGGGUAGUGGCUUACCCAGGCUUUGACGGGUAGCCGGCCUGAGAGGGUGACCGGCCACAUUGGGACUGAGAUACGGCCCAGACUCCUACGGGAGGCAGCAGUGGGGAAUAUUGCACAAUAGGCGGAAGCCUGAUGCAGCAACGCCGCGUGCGGGAUGACGGCCUUCGGGUUGUAAACCGCUUUCGCCUGUGACGAAGCGUGAGUGACGGUAAUGGGUAAAGAAGCACCGGCUAACUACGUG
rnacentral:rRNA from 1 species